UUGUGAACCGCGAAUGGCUCAUUACAACAGCCAUAGUUUACUGGAUAUAUUCCAUUACAUGGAUAACUGUGGUAAUUCUACAGCUAAUACACGCAUCAAAGCCCUGACUUCGGAAAGGGUGCGUUAGUUACUUCAAACUGAUCGGUCUUCGGACUGCCAUCAAGUGAGAUUGAACUAUUUAGCUGAUCGCACGGUCUAAGCACCGGCGACAUAUCCUUCAAAUGUCUGCCUUAUCAACUUUCGAUGGUAGAUUAUGCGCCUACCAUGGUUGUAACGGGUAACGGAGAAUCAGGGUUUGAUUCCGGAGAGGGAGCCUGAGAAAUGGCUACCACAUCCAAGGAAGGCAGCAGGCACGCAAAUUACCCACUCCCGGCACGGGGAGGUAGUGACGAAAAAUAACAAGCUGGUCUCUUUGAGUUCCGGCAUUGUAAUGGGAACAACUUAAAUCAUUUAUCGAGGAUCUAUUGGAGGGCAAGUCUGGUGCCAGCAGCCGCGGUAAUUCCAGCUCCAAUAGCGUAUAUUAAAGUUGUUGCGGUUAAAAAGCUCGUAGUUGGAUCUACGAUCAAGGCUCGUGGUCGUUCUUCUCGAAUGUACUGCGAUGUCUGGUCGAUUUAUCUGGUGAACGAUUGAUGCUCUUCAUUGAGUGUCUCUAGUUGCUGGAACGUUUACCUUGAAAAAAUUGAAGUGCUCAAAGCAGGCUCUUGCCUGAACAUUGCUGCAUGGGAUAAUAGAAUAGGACUUCGGUUCUAUUUUGUUGGUUUCGGAACGCGGAGUAAUGAUUAAUAGGGACAGACGGGGGCAUUCGUAUUGCUGCGUUAGAGGUGAAAUUCUUGGAUCGUAGCAAGACGACCUACUGCGAAAGCAUUUGCCAAGAA
rnacentral:rRNA from 1 species